AGAAGUUGGCGUAACUAGGUCGCAGGGGACGCAGAGGAAUGUCGAGGCGAUUAGGGCCAAAUCCGGAUUCCGAAUCCUGGCUGUACCUGAGUAUCUGAGUUUCUGAGUUUCAAGGAGAUAGUAGUUCAGAUUCUGCCACCAAGGAUAGUUCAAGGAUUGCAUAUCAUUUUGUAUGUAAUUUAGUUGGUUGGUAAGAAAUUGUAUCUGCACCAUGUUGAUAGAAUGUAUAGAAUGGAUGUAAGAAUGGUUGUUCUGUUAAGAUUAUUAUUUUAUUGUGCA